UCCAGAGGGUCACAGACCCUGCUGUGCAUGUCUGUUAUCAGGGAUUUGCACCUCCAUCAUUGACCCCUGUGCUUCAAUCUCUCCCACAGCAGGGCAGGAAUCUCCAGCACGAUGAUGGGAUGCCUAUCAGAGGCCUGUGUUACCUAAACACAGAUGUUCUACUGGUCAAGCACAUAAGGAUAAGCAGCGAUAAGUGACCGAUGUGCUUCUCUACACCCCAACUGCAAGUCACUGAGAGGGUUUAUAAGGCUCCUGGACAAUCUCCCCUUAUUAUCUCACACUUUUUCCCCUUAUUGGAUAGUUUUGGUAUGAGAACCCUGGAAAACUUGCAUACAAAGUUACAAGAAGACAAGCAACCUUGGGUGUCUCAAUAUGAUUUACAGGACAACUCUACAGAAAAGAGGAGUUUCACAAUAAGUAGAAAGCUGUUGAUGGCACACCAGGGCUUUGGCCACUUCUGCCUGCUGUUCCCACAGCAACAAGGCUGGCUCUGCAACAUUCACCCACUCCCCAGCAGUGGGCUGGGGGUGAGCAAGAUCUUCGCUGGGGACACAGCCUGGACAGCUGACCCCAACUGACUCCCACCAAAGGACUAUCCCGUACCAUAUGAUGUCUGCUCAGCAACAAAAGGCAAGGGAAGAUGAGCUUCACAAUAUCUUUGACACUUCUAAUUGAUUUGUCAGCCUGGGGAAGUGGAAAAGUAC